rnacentral:rRNA from 1 species
UACAGAGGGUGCGAGCGUUAAUCGGAAUUACUGGGCGUAAAGCGUGCGUAGACGGUUAUUUAAGUCGGGUGUGAAAGCCCCGGGCUCAACCUGGGAAUUGCAUUCGAGACUGAAUAGCUAGGGUACGGUAGAGGGAAGUGGAAUUUCCGGCGUAGCGGUGAAAUGCGUAGAUAUCGGAAGGAACAUCAGUGGCGAAAGCGACUUCCUGGACCGAUAUUGACGCUGAGGCGCGAAAGCCAGGGGAGCAAACGGG